CCCCAGACUCCUACGGGAGGCAGCAGUGGGGGAUAUUGCACAAUGGGGGAAACCCUGAUGCAGCGACGCCGCGUGUGGGAAGACGGUCCUCUGGAUUGUAAACCACUGUCCCCAGGGACGAAGAUGACGGUACCUGCAAAGGAAGCACCGGCUAACUCCGUGCCAGCAGCCGCGGUAAUACGGAGGGUGCGAGCGUUAAUCGGAAUUACUGGGCGUAAAGCGCUCGUAGGCGGUAUGUCAAGUCAAGGGUGAAAUCCCCGCGCUCAACGUGGGAACUGCCUUUGAAACUGGCAAACUGGAGUGUGUGAGAGGAUAGUGGAAUUCCAGGUGUAGGAGUGAAAUCCGUAGAUAUCUGGAGGAACAUCAGUGGCGAAGGCGGCCACCUGGACCGGUAUUGACGCUGAGGUGCGAAAGCGUGGGGAGCAAACAGGAUUAGAUACCCCAGUAAGU
rnacentral:rRNA from 1 species